ACUCGGAUAGGAAUGGAUGUUUUAUAGAAAUCCUGUUUCUUCUUUCCUGUUUCUCUAGCAACUCCAAGGUGUUCUGGAUCAAAUUUGAUGGAUGUAAGAUUGUUUUAACUUAGAACAAUUAUUCAAUUGAUCUAUUAAUACUACCCGCUAUUGUUCUUCAUACCACUAUAAGUAUCUGCAACCGAAGUAGAGGCGAAUCCAUAUACGAACGGUGAGUUAAAAAUUUGAGUUGGGUUGAUAUGGGACGAAGAUUAGAAAACUGCAAUCUCUUCUUUAUCUAGCGCUGGUAGUAAACAUGGUAUAUCACUUAUCUUGAGAAAGGUUUGAUUUUUUUUCUUUUUGUUUAGGUCAAAAGGGUAUAUAUUAUUGUAUCAGUUUAUUUUAAAAUUGAUACACAGGGUUCUUCUAGUUUUCUGUGGGAUUAAAUUAUAGGGUUUUAGUGUAAUGUUGAAUUAGUUGUUUAUAAUCAAUUUGUUCGAACAAAUUUUAUUUCAUAAAGGUGUUUAUUAGACAUUUGCAAUGUUCUUCAUUAGGCAUGACCAAUGAUGUUGGAGUAGCUUCAGUUAUGUAAUAUGAUUAGGAGAAGGUGGAAUGUAUUGAUGGGUGUAAUUCAAUUACGUGUAAUAGAUAUGGUAUUAUGGUUCAAUUAUGCGAGUGAUAGUUCAACCAAAGAAGAUGGAUUGUAUUGAUGGGUGUAAUUCAAUUACGUUUGAAUCAGUAAAACUAUUUUUUCUUAUGUAUUAUAGAUCUGAUAAACCGAACCUACAAGUUGUUUUGAAACAAUGGUUACAUCAAAAGUUCCAGUGUUGCAUUUGUCAUGAAUUAGGACUUAGAAAACUUGACUACUCAUUGUUUUGUUAGUAGCAUCAGCAUGAAAGAUUGAAGAUUGUGGUCCAGUUUUUUUAACAUUUUUUUUUACAGCAUACUUUAGCAUCGGUUGUAUUUCUAGCUGGAUGUAUUGGUAAGAUCACUGUUAUAUGUUGUUGCUAAAGUCCUUGUGUGGUAGAUGCAAUUUAUCUCAAAUUCAAACUAAUUUGUUCUCUCAUGCUGGAUUCUUACUGGAGAAUGGCACAGUGCAGUCAUUAGGUCCAAAUAUGUUUGUGUAUUGCUCAACCAGGAUAUGAGUUUCUUUAAGCCAAGGAUGGAACAAUGGGGACAUUGUUAGCCAAGUAUUGAGCAAUGUGCUAUUGAUCCAGUCUGCUCUCAACGAUAAAACUAAAGUUGUUCCAGACGCCUCCUGUUCCUUGAACAACAAUGCUAAAAACAGCAAAUCACUUUCUCAAGUGGAAGAUGUUGAUGUUAAAGCUGAUAUGCAAGGUAUCCAAAGCGACAAAGGAAAGAAGUCUACUUUUGACAGAAUUAACCUAUAAGUGUUUUUAAAGAUUAAUUCUGAACUCAUGUAGAUUAAUGAAUACUGUGGUAAAACUGUGCUCCUAAAAUGAAUCCGAUUACGAUUUUAUUUUAUUUU